rnacentral:lncRNA from 1 species
CAAAAUCUCAAAUUUUCACCUGAACUUUGUGUUUCCAAAUUCUUUUGGCCUAUGCCUAAGUUCCCUCCUUUUAAGGGAUUUGAUCAUCCUUUCCCUUUACCUCCACCUUUGGAGCUUCCACCGUUUCCUAAACCAUGCCCACCACCUCCGGUUCCGGUGUACGAGCCACCCCCAAAGGUGGAACUUCCACCACCUGUCCCGGUUCACGAGCCACCCCCAAAGGUAGAGGUUCCACCACCCGUCCCGGUUCACGACCCACCGCCAAAGGUGGAGCACCCACCUCCGGUUCCGGUUUACAAGCCACCUCCAAAGGUAGAGCACCCACCUCCAGUUCCGGUUUACAAGCCGCCUCCAAAGGUAGAGCACCCACCUCCGGUUCCGGUUUACAAGCCACCUCCAAAGGUAGAGCACCCACCUCCGGUUCCAGUACACAAGCCACCAACAAUCCCUAAGAAGCCAUGCCCGCCUAAGUCGCCGAAGAUUGAGCUUCCACCGCCAGUGCCAGUUCACAAACCACCGACUAAGAAGCCUUGUCCGCCCAUGCCACCAAAGAAAGUUGAUCCGCCACCGGUUCCAGUCCACAAGCCGCCGCCGAAAAUAGUCCUUCCACCGCCGGUACCAAUCCACAAGCCGC